rnacentral:rRNA from 1 species
GACGAACGCUGGCGGCGUGCUUAACACAUGCAAGUCGAACGGAAAGGCCUCUUUCGGGGUGUACUAGAGGGGCGAACGGGUGAGUCACGCGUGUGAAAUGUGCUCGUCUUUGGGGGAUAACUUGAGAAAAGGGGGGCAAAUACGGGAGAGAAGCUCGUGCCGCAGGGGGGGGUGUGGAAAGUUUCGGCGGUUGGGGAGGGACUCGCGGCUUAUCAGCUUGUUGGUGGGGUAGUGGCUUACCAAGGCUUUGACGGGUAGCCGGCCUGAGAGGGUGACCGGCCACAUUGGGACUGAGAUACGGCCCAGACUCCUACGGGAGGCAGCAGUGGGGAAUAUUGCACAAUGGGUGGAAGCCUGAUGCAGCAACGCCGUGUGCGGGAUGACGGCCUUCGGGUUGUAAACCGCUUUCGGCAAGGGCGAAGCUUUGUGUGACGGUAGUGGGAAAAGAAGCACCGGCUAACUACGUG